GUGGUCGCCUUGAAAACAACAGCCCGUGUUCCUCCUACUGGUACCAGCACCAGAGGGAGCAGGCUGAACUCAGCACACAUCUUAAUGAUUUGUUUUGAACUCUGGUGGCUCCUUGGAAGACUGGCCCUUGUGUUCAUUGCUUUCAUCUCAGAACUCCCAGUGCUGAAGUGGCUGUGGGCAUUCGUGAUGGCAGAGCUGUCCCUGGACACUGGACACAGCCAGCUGCCUCCUUGCCAUGGCUGUCCUAGGAGCUCAGCCUUGCUACCACCACCAACAUGGCCACCAGAAAAGCAUCCUGCAUCCUUCUCCUCCUACAACACCAGCUCCCAUUUCAAGGUCUAGGGUGCCGGGGGUCAAGAAAGAGAAUAAAAUCUGAUUCCUGCCUUUUAAGAACUUUGCAUCUGUGUAGAUAAAUACACGGCGCAUUAAAUGUAAUACAAGCUUCAGCAGCAGCAGUCUUAGAAGUUAUUGGAAGUAGAAGGAACUUGAGA